CUGGCAGCAGCGUCUCUCCUCUCACGCCGUGUGGACGCAGGCAGGAGUAAGAGUGCUGAGAGAUGAACCCGCAGAGAGAAAAGAAAUCAUGUCAGAAGCUGAGCGACGAAGGCUGCAAAGGCUGUCAGGUCUAUGAGGUCUUCUGACCAGAGCUUGCUGUCUCUCCCUCAGUCAAAACUCUAAAGCAAGGAUGACCGAGCUUUCACCGCAGCGGCCCCAAAGCUCUGGACAGUCUCCCUACGGACGUCAGAACUCCCUCAAGAA